rnacentral:ncRNA from 1 species
UAUGUGCAUAAACUUCGUAUAAUCCAAAUAAUAUGGUUUUGGAGUAUCUACCUUAUCACCGUAAAAGAUAAGACUAUGAUAGAAUGCUUUCU